rnacentral:lncRNA from 1 species
GGUGCUGUGUGGUUGAGCUCACAAAAUCAGCGACUUUCUUCUCUAAGCCCAAUCCCCAUGGUUCCAAUGCCCAGCUUGAUUCCCACUUCCACCUAGGAGGCACACAGCCUCCACAUCCUUCUGGGGAUCCUUCCACUGACCACCCCAAGAUGCCUGCAAGGCCAAGAGAAUCCAGUGAGAGGUAUAUUGGGGUGGACGGGCAUCCAUACCUGCAUUGUGGGAUCAGACAAAACACGCUGAGAUGGGGACAAAGGAAGUGCUAUGAGUGCCACUGAGAGGUCUAUAGGGCAGUAUCAGAGUCCAUGGGUGGCCCUGACCAUGUUUGAGGAAUCAAGGGGGCCCCUGAAAAGGUGAGGUUUUGGCUGAGCCCUUAAAGGCAACUAGGAGUUAACAGGAGUCAUUUAAACUUGGAAGCAUGGAAGGUUGUUUGUGUGUGUGUGUGUGCGUGCUUCUGAGAAUAUGAGAAUGCAGUAAGUGUGGGAAUAAUUCUAAUAGAAUUAGAAGGAGGGCAUUUUGAUUGGGAGCAUAGCUGGUGAGUAGGGUUGCCUCAACCAAGUCUCAUGUCUAGAUAUCUCUUAUCUUCCUGGGACUUCCAGAGACAUACCCGAGGGCACAGUACUGGUUCUGACUGCCCAGCUGAAUUCUGCAAGAGCCAGGGAACUCAGAGAUGUCUCCCAAAUUUUACAUUGUUUAUUAUGAUCUCCUGGGGUAAAUCAUUAAACAUGUUCCAGGUUCUUCCUUAUACUAACUACAAAUUCCUUCAAAUCAUUCACACCACCAUGCAUGUGAGAACAUGUUUGGUGUCAAGAUUCCCGUACCUGAAAGCGGCAAGGGUAGAGCCCCGCCCACAGGAUGCGUACUCGGCAUUCCUCAUUCUCUUAGUCACUAGGUUCUCUACCCAGCUCCUAUGUAGCUUCUUUCAGCUGUAAUGUUUUCAAACAGUUUUUAAAAACUUGUCCCUUUCUUCUCCUUUCCCCCAAGUUUUUAAAGUAAUACAUGGGCAAAGCCAGCUUUCUUUUCAGGAUCAAAAUACAGAACAAAUGAAAAAAUUUAUGGUAUUUAACCUUCCCAAGUUUGAGCCUUCACAAAGAACGCAGCCAAGUUUUAUAUUUGUAACAGCUCUUCUACGUACACUUUGCCUUCUCUAACUUGGUUCCAAGCUUUAUCUUCAUUCCCAAUUAUGCCAAUUCCAUUUUUAUUUAAAAAGAAAAAGCCUUCCCAGUUGUUAUUAGAAACUACUAUUUAGCUUCCCCUCUCUGCUACCUAGCAAACCACAGAGAGGAGUGUCCUAGGAUUAGCCAGUCCUAUGUGAUUCAUGGGGCCGCUUAGUCCUUAUAUGAACCUGACCGCUAACAUGUCUGUUUUAUUGUGGCAAUGACUCUCAACUGUUAUCCUGUGUGAGAAAUAGGAGAUUCCCUUCUUUUUCAAGCAGUGGUACAUAAAGUAGCAGUCUCAUCAGUUGAGCUGGCAGGGGACAUCCAAGAGAUCCGUGAGCGCUCCGAGAUCUGAAUAAUGAACAUCACAACACAACUGGGUCUUUAAUUCCUCUUUGCCAGGGGUCCUGGUUGUGGGGAUGUCCUUCCCUGAAGAGCCGGUCCUACAAGACAGAAGUGAUGACUUUUCUUUAGCUCAUGGCAGGUGUGAUGGGAAGAAGAAAUGUCUGCUGGGCCCACUCUGUGCCAGGCCCUGGAUCUCAAGUUCAGAAGGCCAGGGUUCAAAUUCUCACCUUGACGUUUCCUGGCUGUGUGACCCUAGACAAGUCACCUAGUUUCCUUUCUCAGAGCAAUCACUUCUGCUCUCAACAUCGCUCAUCUACCUGUGGGGGAAUAAACGCUUGUUCUCAUCGGAAUUCGGAAAACGUGAUGUGUAAAGAAAUGACAUAUGUUUAGGGGAUUUUCUUUGUGUGAUCUUGGCUAUAUCUUAAAAUCUGUUGGUU